rnacentral:rRNA from 1 species
CCUACGGGUGGCUGCAGUGGGGAAUAUUGGACAAUGGGCGAAAGCCUGAUCCAGCCAUGCCGCGUGUGUGAAGAAGGCCUUCGGGUUGUAAAGCACUUUCAGUGGGGAAGAAAGCCUUGGGGCUAAUACCCUCGAGGAAGGACAUCACCCACAGAAGAAGCACCGGCUAACUCCGUGCCAGCAGCCGCGGUAAUACGGAGGGUGCGAGCGUUAAUCGGAAUUACUGGGCGUAAAGCGCGCGUAGGCGGUCUGAUAAGCCGGUUGUGAAAGCCCCGGGCUCAACCUGGGAACGGCAUCCGGAACUGUCAGGCUAGAGGGCAGGAGAGGAAGGUAGAAUUCCCGGUGUAGCGAUGAAAUGCGUAGAGAUCGGGAGGAAUACCAGUGGCGAAGGCGGCCUUCUGGACUGACACUGACGCUGAGGUGCGAAAGCGUGGGUAGCAAACAGGAUUAGAUACCCCAGUAGUC